rnacentral:lncRNA from 1 species
ACAGAGCAUCUCCAUCCUCCUCCCCGCGGUCAUCGGCGAUGGGAGCGGGCGCUGGGGCUUGGCGGAGGGCGGCUGCGGAGAGUGCACGGGCAGGGCGGGAGCAGACGGGCUCGCGGCAGUGGCUGGAGAGCGGCUGUCAGCCUAGAAGGGACCCCACGUUGGCUGUGUCCCUCUGACACUGGAAAUAUCAGAGAUGAGGUCUCCCUUUGUUGCCCAGCUGGUCUGAAAUUCCUGGUUUCAAGUGACCCUCACACGUCAGCCUCCUAAAGAGGUGAAGUUAUAAGCAUGAACCAUUGUGGCCAGCGGUGGGACUGAUCCUUACAAAGGUCUUGUGUGCUUCUUAUCUCUCUUGGAACCACGUCAUGGCCAUGAAAACAAGCUCAAGCUAGCCUACUGAAGGAUACAAGAACCAUAGAGGAAAGCUGAGUCACUUUAGCUGAGGCCAUAAUAGACUGAUCAGCCCCCUGCCAACAACCAGUGAUGGCAGAUGCUUGAUCGGGCCCCAGAAAGUUCAUCAGAAAUGAGUGAGUCAAGGUCACAAUAACUGAUCAGCUGAACCAUGGACUCAGGAAAAAUUUUUUUUAAAGGUAGUUGUUUGUUUUGUUUUUUAACAUACCAGUAGCUACAUAGCCCAUAUUGCAAAUGACAUCAAAUUGGACAGAAUGGUUACUGGGUUGUAAUUUUGGAAUGACGGAUUCUAAGUAUCAAGAAGAAUCUGAAUGGGAACAAAUGUAUAAUUCUCAUGAAGUGCUGUACUUGAUUAAAAACUCAAUACAAAACUAA